AUUGUAAAUCAGCUACACUUCAAUAAACAAUUAUUUUUUAAACAAAAUAAAAAAAAAGACACUUCUCCCUUUUCCAUAAAAUCAGUUGUUGUGUUAAAGCCUUCUCUCACCAAAAUUAAUUUCUGGCUCUUAAUUGUGACUUUUAUCAGACGAUUUCAGCCUCUGACUUCUCUUCCCCACAUACUGAUACAGCUUUAAGAGAAACAAUUUCUGAGAAGCAGAGACGGAGAUUUCUGGACUUUCUUUUGUUUGGGGGUUCAAAUCGUUUGUUUGGGUUGAGCUCAGAGUGGAAAACAAAGUUUGGGGUCAGUUCUUCUUCAUCAUGGCCCCCAAAUCUCCCCGCAGCCACAGAUGGGGGCUUAAAGUGGGGAGCCUCGGAACAGAGCCACGGGAAGCCUCGCGGAGGAGGCUGGUGGGGAAGCGUGUGCGGUUGUGCUGAGCUGAGGUUCUGCACACGGGCUGGUGCUUCCCACACGGCGCUGUUCCCAGAGCCGCUGGGUGGAGGAGGCCGCCUUUAAGUCCUGCCCAUACAGUUUAUUUUCUGUGUGGUUCUUGGUAAGGAUGAAAACCUCUGCUACUGAGAGUGGUGUUCUCCUCACUUACCUCUCACUUCCUCUGCGGGGGGAAUCCUCACUUCUUACGGUACAGCCCGCCACUUACGCACGGGCUCGGGGAGGAAUCUGCGGUUUGCACAGACCCACCUCUUGACCUGUUACCACUGAAUGUUUCUAUUAAAUCUUCCCACUGACGUCGGUUCCUGACUCCAGGGUUGGGGGUUGAGCGCGCGCUGAUGCACCUGCCGGGACAGGUGAGGCCGGCUGUCACAGGAGGAUGGAGACGUGACCUUUCCUCUGUGAUAGAACCGUUCCUCUCUGUGGGUCCACUCAGCUUCUUAGGAUAUCACGACUCUGUAUGGAAGCUGGGGGUGGGGUGGGAGAUCUGCACCCUGAGGACAUGGUCGUCUGACCGGAGGACAGUGUGUGUAUCAUCCGACGGCACCUUUCAGGGCCAAGCACCAGCGUCAGAGGGAGAGACUCAGACACCCCGUGAUAUUCAUUUACAAGUGAGACCAGUUAGAUGAGCGUCUACAGUAGCCUUGGGGAGAGGAAGAAGUCGCAGGGGCAGCCGGGAGGGGCGUGGUGGGAGGACUGGGGGCCGCAGCCUUCCUCCUUUGGCGAAGCCGUGUACACGUCUGUCUGUGCAGGGGUACCAGCUGACCAUAAACGUGUGUGUUUCCACCUGGUCUUGUCUCCCUGACGGUGGGUCAUGUGGGUUGUAGACCGAACGGGACGGAGUCGGGGGUAAGAAAUGUAAUGAGGGCAGAGGAACCGGUUCUUGGCUGCUUCCAGCCCCUGGGAAGGGCGUGCUUCUGGAAUGACUCCUGAUACCCGGACCCAGCCCCAGGUCCCCCUGCUCUUGUCCUCACAGUCAUCCAGCUGGAUGGUCGUGGGGUGAAGUCCAACCCCACCCCCGGUAGCACACACCAAGCCUUUCCCGAUCUGGUCCCUUCUGUUCUCCAGUUUGAUCAGCCAACUACACCCACGCUGCUCCCUAAGGGCCUGGCACCCCCAGCCGGCUCUCAGCUCUGCCUCCCAUGUGCUCUGUCGCCUCCACGCCUUCAUCCGCCUCCUCCCAGACCCUAGGGUCAGGCCACUGCCUCCCCUUCACCUGGGGAGACUUUAAACAUGCACGGCUCUCUUAGAGGUUCUGAUUCCGACAUCCAGAGAGAGGUCCAGGAGUACACAGCAUCAAAGGCUCCCCUGAAAAUUCCAAGAGCUCUGGGAUCCCACGCAGACAUCACUCCUCUGGGAAGCUCCCCCCAUCUGUCCCAACACUGAACGGCGGUGUCUCUGACUGCCUGUCUCUCCUAUAAACGUCCACCUCAGGAGGGCAGGGACUCUAGCCGAGAAGUGGUUCCAAAAUAUUUGUUGAGUUGAACUGAAUCAAAACCAGGGAAUGUUUCCUUUCUGCCUCUUCUGCUCUUGCUAAAAGAAAAGCAAACUUCUUUUUGGCUAGUUUUUGAGUUUGUUUGCUAUUUUUUUUUAAGAGAAACAGGAGUUAAAAAAUGACACAAGGAAAAUUACAACUCUAACAUCAAGAACAAAAUUCUUAUAAAGGCUGGUAAUAUUGGUCUUUGGUUGGGGUCUAAGUGUGAAUGACACCGAGCCCACGCUGGCUUAAACUUUUUUUUUUUUUUGAAAAAUUGACUCCUGUGAGAUUCCUGCUUCUCAUUUUUUCAGUCUCUCAUACCACGAUGUGGAAGAUGUCAUUAUGUUUUUGCAGGAAGAAGACUCAGGUGCUUGGUGUGUUUCCAUCUCCCCCAAUGUGUCUCCCCGCUCUUUCUCUCUCUCUCUCUCUCACACACGCACGCACGCACACACACGCGGCAUGCUUGUAGGCAGUUUCCCGAUGGCUGGUGCCAGGACUGAGACACCCAAGCUGAGCCUGCCAUAAUCUUCCUUUGCUCACCCACGGCCCGUUCUCGGCACACCCUCGCGUCUAGAGGUCUCCUGAGGUAAAUGCGCUUCAAGGAUGCUGAGAUAAGCAGUGCCUGGUCCUCAGUCUUGAUUCUCAGCGGACCUGGAGGACCUGCUGUUUGUAUUGAUGCAGACGCUGUUACCGGAUUUAAACACAGAAGGGGUCAUUUUAUUUUGUUUGUGCCCUGGAGGCUUAAAAAAAAAAGAAGAAGAAGAAAGAAAAAAGCCAGCACCCUUUUGAAAAGGAAAGCGUCCAACAGUUAAAUAUACUUUCCCAGGGAGCUGGGGAGCAGAUGUCCUGUCUCUUCGCAGAGUGGGAGGGUGUGGACACUGGGGGGUUAUACCCAGAGCAUGUUUCACAAUUUUAAAAAGUCAAGGGGUUUGAAGAAGGUCUCUAAACAUGGGAGGUCUGGUUGGGGUAGAUUCUUACUUAUGCAGCAAAACAAAAGGGAAUUUACCACAGAUUUUUGGCAAUCAUAUAUUUUUGCAUUUUUUCCCCUUGGACUCUCAAGAUGAGAAAGAUUUUUAUCACCACCAAUUAAUAGAGUUUUUGAAAUUGAGGGGGAAAAAAAGAACCUUUUAUCCUUGGCUCAGAGAGUUGGACUGAGUAGAUGGUUACAGCAAUUUCUCUAACCGCCUACCCUGCAGAAGGGAAGUCGGGACACAAGAAAAGGGAAACCAGCUUUGGAGGAAACCUCGUGAACCAAUGGAUGUAAAAGAAGGAAAAUUCUUUGUUUUCUCUUUCCUGUAAAGUGAUUCUGAAGCACAUAAGACUAAUAGAGUCACAUGAGGCUCUUUUCAAAUUCGCUCCUGCCUGAUCACCCCCCCCACUCGCCUCCCACAAAGAAUGGAAUUUAGAAAGACUCCCAAGUUAAUUCCAAUAUGCUCUCUCCACCCCACCCAGCACCCUCAUCCUUAAUUUUAUUAAAUUUUUUUUUUAUUGAAGUAUAGUUGAUUUACAAUGUUGGGUUAGUUUCUGGUGUACAGCACAGUGAUUCAGUUAUACAUACAUACAUUCUUUUACAUAAUCAUAUGAAUAUGAUUUCAUAUUCACUUCACUGUAGGUUGUUAUAAGAAAUUGAAUAGAGUUCCCUGUGCUGUACAGUGGGGCCUUGUUGUUUAUCUCUUUUAUAUACAAUAGUUUGUAUUUGCAAAUCCUCAACUCCCAAUUUAUCCCUCACCCUCAAUAUUAAAACCAGUGCUACAGAAUAUAAAUCCUUGAAGACAAUACAAUUUCUUAAGGCUCUUUUAGAUGGAGGGUGGCUUGAUUCGUUUGAUACCCUGUUCCAUAGCCACCCUCGGAAAUCACUCAUUGGCCCCACUCCAAUUUGGACCCAUCACCCUCAGAAGGUGGAACAGUCACUCCUGAUUUCCUCCGACACUUGCUUCAGAGUACCAGCUGCUCAUUUUCUGUCCUGUGUGCAUGAUGAAAUUCCUUCUGUAUCAUUUAUAAUGUUAUUCUUUGCUGAUCUCUCUUGCAAUGAACUUGAAAUACCUGCACAUCUGAAAUCUUCUGGGACUGAAAUAUAUCUCUCAAGUUAUACAAUUUUCAGAGUUGGAGGUAGUGUGAGAGAUUGUCUCCCACAAUUUGGCAGGAAUUCACGGUAUAGUAUUCUAGUCGGUUGCUGGUUGUGUAUUUUCAAAAAUUAGGCACCUGUUACCUCCCGUGGAAGUGUGUUUUAUUUCUGGAGAGUGCAUAAUUGAGUUAAAUGAGAUGUGUUUCUCUUAAGGUCUUCUCACUGUAUGAACUAGGUCAUGUCUCCCAAGCCCCAGAUCAAGCUGGUGGUUGGCUUAGGAACGGAGCACACUCACAUUUGGUAAUCAGCGACUUAAUGCCCUCUACUGAAUUUGACUUUGCAGCAGACCCCAGAUCUCCUGGUAAUGGAGCCGUUCUCUUGGUGGUGUUCACGGGACCCUCCUCUGGCAGGCGGGCAGGGCAGGGAAACGGGGAAAUUUCUGCAACCCACAGCCUCCUGGGUGUGCUGGAGGAGAUGGUCCUGCUGCCCCUGGACCACCCAGGGGGCGUGGCUACGAGCCUAACUUCUCACGCACUCCCUGCCAGGCCAGGUCAGACCCUUAGUUCUGCGGACCACCACCAACAGCGACGUGACAGUUGCGGAUUUGGUAUCACAUACAACAAAUAUCUGUUCACAGAAUCUGUCCACAGCCACCUGGGUGGUUUGGGCAUCACUGCAAAGCUGGUCUCGCUUUUGUGUAGAGAACAGCAUUUGAGUCUGGGUCUCUGGGGUCAUUUCUCAUGUUUCUUUUUCAGAAAUUUGUGCACUUGGGACAUAUUUUUAUUGCUGCGACUAAACUUGCUUGCAUUUCUAUUAAAAUUUUGGACCCAUCUCCAUCCCAAAAUACUAGGCUUCCUAAAAACACUGGUGAGGUUCCCUUUCCUUACUAAUGUUUACGACUGUCUGUCACCUCCCUGUUUGCUCUGCGUUCUGCUUAGCCUCUUCCCUAACACUUAAUAAGGAUUUCAGAAACUCUCUACUGCAGCUGCUUCCAAAAUCCCGUGUGUUUGAAAUUGAUGAGCAUCUUGAUAAAAAAAUGCCAUGUGGAGGCUUCUUUGCCUGUGUCCCAGGAGACACUGUGUGGCCUGCAUUCGAGACCAGAUGGGAAGACUGGUUGAUUCUUCAACUGGCUCCCAUGUGCUCCAUGUGACUAAUGGAAUCAAUACUUUGGGGUUUGAAUUUCUUCCCCAAAAAGAGACAUUGAAGGCCUAACUCCAGUGCCUGUGAAUGAACCUUAUUAGGAACUAGGUAAAUUUAUAGAUGUAAUCAAAUUAGGAUGAGGGUAUCUUGGCCCUAUUGGAUUACAGGAUGGGCUCUAAUCCAAUGACUGGUACCCUGAUAAGAAGAGAAGAGACACACGGACAUACGUGGGGAGAACACCACAAGAAGAUGCAGACAAGACUGGAGGGGUGCAGGUACUAACUGAGGAGCACCGAGGAUGCUGGCAACCAGAGCUGGGACGGAGAGUAACAGGGGAAGACGAGUGAUUUGGAAAGGCUCUCUCUGAGGAAGUAGGAGACUGUGGGGAAGGAGGGAGCCAUGCAAAGUUCUAGAGGAAGAGCAUGCCAGGCAGAAGGAACAUCGUGCUGGAAAAGCCCCAGCUGGGGGAUUUAUUUGUUCUGAGCAGAGGGUGCAGAGAGAAUGAGCUGGAAUGGAAGGAGCUGGAACAGCCAGAACAAAAGUGGGGAGUGGGGAGGGAGGGGGUGGGAGGAUGGGUCCAGAGAGCCAGGCCCACAGGCUCAGACCACCAGGCCUCAGCAGGCAUAAGACGGGGUUUGGAGAUUUGGAAAUCUGAAGGGAAGGCUUCGAUAAGCAGCGUGUGUGUGUGUGUGUGUGUGUUUGUGUGUGUACGCGUGUGUGUGUGUUUAAGGUUGUAAUCUGCCUGAUGCAGAAUCAAAGUUUGCCUCAUUCUUCAUAGAAGUCAAGCUUCAAGAUAAAGGACCGCAGCUCCCCAGGAUAACGACAGACCUUUAAGCUGUGCGGCAGAUAGGCCGUUCUCCUGACUUUCCCCUGAGCCGGGAGAAGCCUGAGCUGGGUGGGGGGAAGUCUUCCUCCACAUUCCUUCCUGAGCUGCCCCUUCCUGGGAGGAGAGCUCUGGAAGGGACCCCCGCCCACCCCCAACUCCUGUCCUGGCAGGAGCGGGUCUCUGAUGCUCGAAAGUGGCAUCAUUAAAAAGCCCUAACCUUUCAGUAUUUAUCACAUGUCUGUUCUGUGCCGGACGUGAUGCUCACUGCCAAGGGUGCAGAGAAUAAAUCAGACGUGUUUCCCCCCUUUAGGGAAGCAGGGUCUGAUAUGGCGUCAGGUGGGCCCCCGACAGCGUGAACAGCAGCGGAGAGCCGGGUGCAGAAAGGACGUACUUGGGAGCAUGAAGAGGGGGCCCCCAACCCGGGGAGAGGCCUUGCUCUUCCUAAACAGGAAUGUCUUCAGAGCUGUGUGGCUUAAUCGGAUCCACUUUAUGGAUGUCUCGGCAGAGAGGACUCUGAUGUGAGCUGAAAAGCUCAGUUACAUGGGCUGGAAAGAGGGACCGGUUGUCCAGGGUGUGUUCGGCGUCUCUUGCUGCCUUUGUUCUGGAGAUGAGCGAACAGCUUUCCACCCAUCUUCUGAACUUCUGGGUUUACUCUAAAUAUGGUUUGCUCUCGCUGUACAAGCCAUUGUAAGGCUCUGCGAUCAUUUGCGGGUAGAAUGGCGAGAAUGUAAUCUAUCCCCUCAUUAUCAUGUAAAUCCCAGGUUUGAAUAUUUCAGUGUCACUAUAUUUUUCCCCUUAAGUUUCCUUUCUUUCAGGCCUGUGGGAGAGGGUGGGUUCUGCUUUUAUCACUUGAAAUUUGUUUGAAUUUCAGGCUAAGGAACCUAAAGUUUGCAGAAAGCUCUGCUUGUGGAUUCUGUCUUUAUCAUUUGGGCGCUGAUGGGAGGCGAGAAUCCUCGGGCGGCCCCCGUGGAGGGGCUCCUGGGAGAGACCGAGGCAGCAAAAUGAGCACUCUGAGGCAGGCUGCUUCCCCGAGUCGAAGUGCGCAGCCCAGCCCUGCGGGCGAGAGCGCUGGGGGCCGACAGGAGUCCCCGCGGUCCCAGCAGGACGGGCGGCCAUCCGUCUUGUUCAGAGAAAGGACACAGAUAAAGUGCUUCUGGGACUGCAUCUGUGUAGACAUGAGACUCUCUCAGCUGCCCGGGGAGAUUUUCGAAGCUGGGUGCUCAGCCAUGGAGGCCAGGCUCCCUGUGCUGCCUGGCGACUGCUAAAUCCCAGUGGAGUGAAAAACCUGGGUGUAUUUUCUGUCUUUGCACUUGUCCAUCUUCUUCCCUGACCCACCGAGGACCCUGUCUGAGAGAACAACACCAGCUAAAAAAUUUGCCAGUCGACAUGGCCGAGGGAAGGAGGGAGAGUGGGCGUCGCGUGCUGGUCUUCAAGCUUCCCCUGGAUGGAAGGUGUGUCACCCCUUCCCUUUGCAGCCGGGGCGAAUCCCAGGCCCACACCCAGCUAGGAGGGCGAGGAACUGCAGCCUGACCAGGUGCUCCGAAGAAAAGCAGGAAGGAUGCUGGGCAGCAUGAAUGUGGCUCACAGUGAUGAACAGUGCCCGCAGGGGAGCUCUGGACAGCCUGUCAGGGGUGCAGACUCCAGAGAGACCUUCCCAAGUUCUUGUGAGUGCCUGUGUGUGUGGUGUGUGUGCACGUGCGUGUGCGUGUGCAUGUGCAAAAGUGAGCUGAACUGAAUAUAAACAACCCUAUGGAAAGACAAAGAGUACCCUCCCCACCCCAGAUGCCCCCAGUAAACCUCUCAAUGAACAUCCAGGUGCUUAGCUACAGUGGAUCCGCUCAGCUGAUGUUCUAGGAGCCCCUGUCCGCUGGGCUGAAAACAAGCGGGUACAGCUUCCUCCGGGUGCAGCCUUUCUGCCCAGGGAGAAGGAGAGAGAAAUCGAAGGGUCUCAUUCAGGAGGCAGGAAGGCAGCCGUCCGCUCAGGACACCAGCGGGAAACGGGGUGGCUUGGAGAGAAAGGAAAGGCUUUUCUGGUGGGGAAGCAGUUCCCACCCUCCAGGCUUCCAAUCUUGCGUAAUGGUUUUAUCUGGCACAGAAGGAACUGGGGGAAAUGGGCAUCUUUUCUUGCCCCUUCCCCUGCAGGGUAACCCUGAAGAAGAGAGUCAUCAUUUCGGAUACAUCUUUUCAGAGCUAACUCAUCUUUUGCAUGAUUGGUGCUUUAUGGAACUUGCAAACUGCCCUGGAAUCUGGGCCAAUCAGUCAGCUGCUGCCUCCCCUCCCCCCAGAGCAGCCGGGAAGGAGAGGACAGUCCGCACACCCUGGGGUCAGAGCCAUGUUAAUUACAGCUUCGCACCACACGGUCCACAUCUUCUGUUACUCUCGGGGGAGGGUUUUGUGAAUCAGGCUGUUAACAAAUCAGGCCGAAUCCAGAUGCCACACUUGCAUCUGGAUGUUGACCCAGGCCCAUCCUGAAUUGCGGUGAGAGGGUCUAACGGGGCGGAAGAACCAUACAAUUCAGUUUCUGGUAAAAUAACUUCAAGAGCGAUAUAAACUUCCCUGUGCUGAUGGAAGUUUCUGGAAGCCAAAUGUCUGAGCUGUAUUAACUCUGAGUUUGCCUGUGUUCAUAGCUCUUUUCCUCAAAUUUAAGAUUUCACUUCCAGGAUGUCUGCGUAAGCAGCUCAUUUUGUGUAAAAUCCGAGAUUUAUUACUUGGGUGUACGAACAUGGGGACAAAUAAAGAAACAACCAAAAACUAAAAAAA